rnacentral:rRNA from 1 species
AGUGGCGGACGGGUGAGUAACGCGUGAGAAUCUGCCUUGGGGUCGGGGACAACCACUGGAAACGGUGGCUAAUACCGGAUAAGCCGAUUGGUGAAAGAUUUAUUGCCCGAAGAGGGGCUCGCGUCUGAUUAGCUAGUUGGUGAGGUAAGAGCUCACCAAGGCAGCGAUCAGUAGCUGGUCUGAGAGGACGAUCAGCCACACUGGGACUGAGACACGGCCCAGACUCCUACGGGAGGCAGCAGUGGGGAAUUUUCCGCAAUGGGCGAAAGCCUGACGGAGCAAGACCGCGUGAGGGAGGAAGGCUCUUGGGUUGUAAACCUCUUUUCUCAGGGAAGAAGCUCUGACGGUACCUGAGGAAUCAGCCUCGGCUAACUCCGUGCCAGCAGCCGCGGUAAUACGGAGGAGGCAAGCGUUAUCCGGAAUUAUUGGGCGUAAAGCGUCCGCAGGUGGCGAUUCAAGUCUGCUGUCAAAGCACGGGGCUUAACUCCGUAAAGGCAGUGGAAACUGAAUAGCUAGAGUGCCGUAGGGGUAGAGGGAAUUCCCGGUGUAGCGGUGAAAUGCGUAGAGAUCGGGAAGAACAUCGGUGGCGAAAGCGCUCUACUGGACGGCAACUGACACUCAGGGACGAAAGCUAGGGGAGCGAAUGGGAUUAGAUACCCC